ensembl:snRNA U6 U6 spliceosomal RNA
GUGCUUGCUGCAACAGUACACAUACUAAAAUUGGAGUCAUACAGAGAAGAUUAGCGUAGCCCUGUGUAAGAAUGACACAUAAAUUCGUGGAGUGUUUCAUAUUUUU